GUGUCUGAAAAUAUAGUCUUUCCUAAACUAUAAAGAGACUCUAAUCAUUUUGCCAUUCCUUACCUUUUAGCCUCUUAGCAGACUUGCAAUUCGGGGACAGUAUCUGCAAAUGAAAAGUUCUCACGGAAUGCUGGAAUUAAGACAAAAUAUCAUGGAAGUAUGCAACAUAGGUUCUUUAUGAAGGAAUCAGGUAAAGUGCGAGGUACCAUCACUUCGAAGACUAAUGUCGGACGCGCUUGUUGAACUAUUCAUCUGGUAUAUUUUCAGUCUUGUUUCAUUGUAAGUGCUACUUCAAUCCAACUACCCUCGAAGAUUCAUUCAAAUUUAAACAGUUUUAUACAGAAAGAGUAAAAAAAAGGGGGAGGGAGCGCAUUAAGGCCUUGUUUGGAUGUCGUAGUUUCUAAAAACAUGGUAUUAAAAAACUACUGUUUUAGAAAUUAGAGCCAUGCAAUACCACCGUUUAGAAAGAAAAAAAAGGGUCAUAGAUGGAGUUUCUAAAACUCCAACAAUGCCACAAUUUUGACAAUACUAUGAUUUUCAAAGCUACAAGAUUUGUUACAUCCAAACACCUCCGAGUUUUCCAAAACCAAAGUAUUUUGCAAAACCACAGUAUUUUUCCAAAAUUCCAAAAAGACUUUGCAUCCAAACAUGGCCUAAGAUCCUUACAGUACACGGAACACUUAAAACCUUGUUUUGCAUUUGCUUUCGUAACGUUUUCUUGUCUUUAUCAAAUCUAAACUAAAUCGCUAGAAGCCGUACGCCCGCAGGGGCGGAGAGAGGGUGGGGGGGGGGGGCGAUAAAACACUGGACCUCCAGUUACUUAAGUCCCUUAAGCAAUAAGGAAUUAGCCCAGCAAGGAUUGCAAGGAUGUAAGGAAGGAAUUAGCCCAAUAAGGAUCAAAGAAGCCAGGUAACCAUCUUAUCUAGCCUGGUUCGGACGCCCACCGCAUCGUCCUGUACUCCUGUUCGCUCAUUUCUUUGCGUCAUCGACUCAUCGCCGCCGCCCGCAAAAGCGCAGCCGCGCAUACACAGAACGCUCGUGCUUCCGUGCAUCGGAGGAUCGCUGGCUCGCUGCGUCGUUGCGAAUCUGCGAGACUGCGACCGUGAUGCCACGAGACCACAAACUCCAGAACUGCAGAACACAGUAAUGGAGAGGAUAGAGAUGCAGUGGUUCGCAGGUGCGAUCUGGAGACAUGUCUGUAUGGUGGUGGCUGGUGACCUCUCAGCAUCGAGGUGCCCUUGUGGUUGGAAGGGAUAGCUGCCCAGCCUGUUCACGGUCGAGCAUCAAAGAAGCAGCACUGCUACAAGUACUGUGGCCGCUCCUGACUCAAAUGUGCAAGUCCAUUGGACCAUUGCAUUGACAAAGGCUGGCUGGUAUACACAACCAUCACAGCGGUCCUGAAAGCGAGAAGAGUCGUCAAGCAAAGACAUCGUCGCAGCACAAAGAGAGAAGAAGGCGGCCAUGGCAAUUGCUAUGUCAUGCAGAUCCAAUGCACGCCGUGUAGGUGGGGCAGUUGAACUUAAUUUCGUUUGGUUGCAUCCACUAGCGCAUGCAAGAGAAACAGUUGGUCCGGCCUGAAUUUUGUAAUGGCGCAAGCUGAUGCGUGCCAUUGUGAUGAGUUUGGUUGUAGGAUUAGGUUGGAUGAAACGUAGCGAUAGGUAUCUAUAUUUUGUUGAAUUGGAUCAUCUAAUUUCUUGUUUAGAUGAUUCCAUCUAAAACGUGCUUAGGUGAUGUUACUGUCCAAUUAACUAGAAAAUUCAUGAAGAAGUUUCUCAUUGGUAUCUUGUGACUUGGGAUAGUACCCCCCAACCCCCAAAAAAGUCCUUUUCAGGGAGUUAUUACAUUCG